AGGCGCUCGUGAAAGCGGCGGGAAUCUCGCGCGGAUUUCACGAGGCGGGGAUUCGGCGCGGAUAACGGAGAAAUAACGUCAAAUACUGUCGAAGUUUGUGUGUAAAUAUAAAUAGAGUGAAAGUCCGAGCCGGAGAGCCGCAGCGCCCCCGCCGGUAACCUCACGGGAACCUCUCCAGCGACACACCGGCGAUCAGCGGAACUCGGUGAAGGAUGGCCGCCUCAGUGAAGGUAGCGGUGAGAGUUCGGCCCUUUAACUCCCGCGAAACCAGCCGAGAUGCUAAAUGUGUCAUACACAUGCAGGGAAACACCACCUGCAUCUGGAACCCCAAACAGCCCAAAGAAGCAGCCAAGAACUUCAGCUUUGACUAUUCGUACUGGUCUCAUAGCACGGUAAGAU